rnacentral:rRNA from 1 species
CUACGGGAGGCUGCAGUGGGGAAUAUUGCACAAUGGGCGCAAGCCUGAUGCAGCCAUGCCGCGUGUAUGAAGAAGGCCUUCGGGUUGUAAAGUACUUUCAGCGGGGAGAAGGGAGUAAAGUUAAUACCUUUGCUCAUUGACGUUACCCGCAGAAGAAGCACCGGCUAACUCCGUGCCAGCAGCCGCGGUAAUACGGAGGGUGCAAGCGUUAAUCGGAAUUACUGGGCGUAAAGCGCACGCAGGCGGUUUGUUAAGUCAGAUGUGAAAUCCCCGGGCUCAACCUGGGAACUGCAUCUGAUACUGGCAAGCUAGAGUCUCGUAGAGGGGGGUAGAAUUCCAGGUGUAGCGGUGAAAUGCGUAGAGAUCUGGAGGAAUACCGGUGGCGAAGGCGGCCCCCUGGACGAAGACUGACGCUCAGGUGCGAAAGCGUGGGGAGCAAACAGGAUUAGAUACCCCCGUAGUC